rfam:Cavia porcellus supercont2_189 genomic scaffold, whole genome shotgun sequence.
AAGCGCACAGCUAUGUGCCUGCCCUCUAUCUCUCGUGAGGCCUGGUAAGCAGUGGCUUCCCACAGCAGCCCCUGGGCAGUGUGCAGCCUGUGGCUUGUAUGCACUGCCCAAAGGGACCUUAGAAAAAGCC